GACGGAGGAUGCAAGCGUUAUCCGGAAUGAUUGGGCGUAAAGCGUCCGCAGGUGGCAGUUCAAGUCUGCUGUCAAAGACCGGGGCUUAACUUCGGAAAGGCAGUGGAAACUACACGGCUAGAGUGCGUUCGGGGCAGAGGGAAUUCCUGGUGUAGCGGUGAAAUGCGUAGAGAUCAGGAAGAACACCGGUGGCGAAGGCGCUCUGCUAGGCCGCAACUGACACUGAGGGACGAAAGCUAGGGGAGCGAAUGGG
rnacentral:rRNA from 1 species